rnacentral:rRNA from 1 species
UACGUAGGGAGCAAGCGUUGUCCGGAAUCAUUGGGCGUAAAGCGCGCGUAGGUGGCCACAUAAGUCCGUUGUGAAAGUCAAAGGCUCAACCUUUGAAAGCCGAUGGAUACUGUGUGGCUAGAGUACGGAAGAGGCGAGUGGAAUUCCUGGUGUAGCGGUGGAAUGCGCAGAUAUCAGGAGGAACACCAAUAGCGAAGGCAGCUCGCUGGGACGUUACUGACACUGAGGCGCGAAAGCGUGGGGAUCAAACAGG